ACCUACGGGGCGCAGCAGUAGGGAAUCUUCCACAAUGGGCGAAAGCCUGAUGGAGCAACGCCGCGCGGGUGAAGAAGGUCUUCGGAUCGUAAAACCCUGUUGUUAGAGCAGAAAGUGCGUGAGAGUAACUGUUCACGUUUCGACGGUAUCUAACCAGAAAGCCACGGCUAACUACGUGCCAGCAGCCGCGGUAAUACGUAGGUGGCAAGCGUUAUCCGGGUUUAUUGGGCGUAAAGGGAACGCAGGCGGUCUUUUAAGCCUGAUGUGAAAGCCUGGGGCUUAACCGGAGUAGUGCAUUGGAAACU
rnacentral:rRNA from 1 species